AGAUGUCAGAAAGCGAUAGAAUCGAUAAUCGAAAAAAUGAAACGGUUAAAAUUGCAUAAUUCGUGAGAUUAGCCUCAUUGUUAUUUUCAGCGUAUUUUUGUUGCUUAACAGCUUUUUUGAUUGAAUGACUUGAAUCUUCUGUGUGAAUCAUCAAUUAAUGAAUUUUUAAAUUAAACGGUUUUUUUGUUUGUGUAAUUAAAAUCAAAUUUUUUCUUCAAUCAGAAUGUUAAUAUAAGAAUUUUGUUGUCGUUUUGGUUGUGAUCAUUUAUGACUGUUUCAGAAGUUUGGUAAUUAGAUUGGUAAUUUAGGCAACAAUUGGUGGUGCUUGGUAACCGAAAGAAUUCUCAUGGAAAAUGGUGGAAAUAAAUUCUCAAUCAAUGAGAUAUUUAUCAAAAUGUUUUCCAACUUACAAACAAUGCUCGGACAAACCUGUACCUACAAAUUCAUUUAAAAUAUUCAUGAAUGCACCAUCAUCAAUCAUAAGGACGCUUAAUUAAUUCAAGGCAUGAUACACUGAAGUUUCGACACAUUUGCGACAGUAAAGGAUAUACACACAAACACAUUGUUGGAAUCAAUCGCAAAAAAAGGAGCAAAAAUUUUGAUUCGAUAACCUUGACUGAAACUUAUUACUUGAAACAAUCAUAUUGUCCAAACUACUGGAUAUAAUUAAUGAACCUUUAAAGUAUUCAUCGUACAUUGGUUCAACUCUUUCCAUAUCAAUGGAAUUUCACACUGAUGGCUGAACAAUCUGUUGAAAGUGAAGCCUACUUUUGUAACAUGGACUCUUUGGUAACAUAAGAUCUAUCAUUAUCAUUCCAAUCAUGAUGGUACAUGAACCUGUUUUCACUUUCACUCAACUUUCUCUUAAUCCUUUUUUUCUACCGAAUCAUGUAUUCAUCAUCCUGUUAUCAUUUCAUCACUAAUUUAACCUUUAUUGGUUGAUAAUUUUGUUCACCUUAUCUUCCCCAUCAUUUUACACUUUCAUUUUACAUUUUCAUUUUGUUAGAUUAUAACCAAUCGAUUAGCUGAACAGUAGUGGAUUCGGAUUUGACAAAAAAUAGUCAUAGCUGAGCAUCGUCUUAAAAAAUGAAUGGAUAACCUUAAAGAUUAAUAUCAGGUUGUUCAACUUUUUUUGGAAAAUUCUAUGCUUUUUAUUUCGAUUCAACCCUCUUCAAUUUAAAAUCAAUUGCACUUGACUUUAAGAUCAAUUUGAUUGCUAAUAUAUCUUUUGAUGGUUAAUUAAAAGAAAUGAUCGCAGCAUUUCUUGGAUAAUGUACUGCCUCAGGAUUCACCAUCUAACUCAUCCAAUUCUCGAGGAAAUAACUCAAUUCUUUUCCAAAAUCAUGGAUUCACCAAUAAUUUGAUGCUCCAUUAGAAUGGAUACAACUUGGAUAAUCGUCGAUCACUUUCUAGUUAAAUGUUUAAUGAGUCACAACUUCAUCUAAGCAACUCAAGGAAUGCUACCUGUUAUCUUGAAUGACCAAUGACUGAUCAAAUUAUCAUUAUAUUGUUGGCGAAAAUUGGCCUUAAAGGGAUUUAGUUUCCAGGAAUAAAGAUGUUAUAAUCAGGAUGAGUUAACUGUUUAUACUGGUAAUGGAGUUGUUAUGAUUGAAGAAAUGCAAAAGAUAUCGGAGUUGAACAAACCGUAGCCGUUAAAAUACAGUUUCACAGUGAAAUAAGAGUUAACUGUAAAACGAGUUAAAGAAAAAGAGAGAGAGAGAGAGAAAAGAAAGAGGGUUCGUAAGAGUUACUGACGAGAAAAUUUGCGAACCUUAACGACCUGUAAUUAAAAUUACCCUCGAUAAUGAUAGAACUAUUACUGAUGUUUUAAAUUGUGACCUGUUAGUAACGUUAGUUUGACAAUAUUUGCACGCAAAGCUUUUUUUUACACUUCUCCAGCUUCAUUACCAUUUAAUUCAUUCACUGGUUCUCAUUGAUAAUGAUAAAUGCUCAUUGGAAUGUCAACUUGACAUGAUAACAACAACAGUAAUAAUGGUAAAAAAACUACAAUAAUAACAUAUUCAUAAUAAUGGUAAUAAUGAUGAAUGAUAAAAUAUGAUUACAUGAUUAUGAUAAUGUCACUAUUGUAUCAAAAAUAUAAUUCAGAAGCGACCAUCAAAAUUGAUUGUAAAACAUAAAUACCUUGAAGUGAAUUGAUAAGCUGAGCUAUGAAAGAAGAAGAUUGGACAAUUUAAUUAAUCGAAUAGUUGGUCGAUUGAUAAUCAUGGUAAAUCAUCAUCAUAAUCAUUGUUUCUCCUUUUCUUUAUAAUUACAAUUGUUACUGUUUCCAGAAGCGUUCAUCUUAUUGAUUUACUGCAAAUUGAAGAGCCUUUCACUUCGUUGAAAAUAUUUGUCAUUAUCAUCUUAUAAUAUUCAUAGAUGAGCUGAUUCAAUUAGAACAAUUAAUUUAUUCAAAUUAUCCUAGCCUUACAACCAAUUAUUAUUAACCAUUGAAGCUGAAUAGCCAAAGGCUUUGGAGAACUGCAAAAUCAAGCAACUCAACAAUCUCAGGUGUUUAAUGGCUUUUAAAUUUGAGGAUUGUGACCAUUACCCAGGAUCUGUAAUUAUCUUGAAAUUUAUCACAGUAUGAUGGUAGUGAUGAUGAAUGUGAUGAAUUAUAUUCUUGGGGAAAUACGUUUUUCCCUGGUUAAACAAGAAUCUAACAAGAAAAUUCCACUUGCAAAAUCAUUUUGGCUUUUGAAACGCUGGAUCCAAUUAUUAUUGCUAUUAUCUUGCAUCAUCUGAUAAUGUGAGCUCAGAUUUUACCCAUUGGCUAAUUAGCAAUUCAUAACAGGAAUAAUUAAUCAGUUUCAUUUGGCACUUUGGCCGUUUCGUGAAUAUUUACCUUCUUCUCAAAGCUGUACUAUUGUGUCAUCUAAUAUACUCAAUUCAAUCUGAAAAUGAUUUAUUUGGUUGGUAUUAUAUCAUUAUGUUGGCAAAAUCGUUGAAGUUGCCGUUAUCAUUCAAGCAUUUUGACCAACUAUUUAUUGAUAAUUAAUUCCAAUACGAAGGGAAAAACAAGAUGGACUUUUACGAUGAUGUAUUAUCGUUAAGUGAGAUGCAAGUGCAACAACAGGGGAAUAUGGCGAAGAAAAACAAUAACAAAAAAAACAACAUCAAGGGCGAGGAAAAUAACAAUAAUGAGGAAAUUACAAGGCCUAAUAAUCUUUUUAUAAUCUAAUUGUAAAUUACCAAAGAAACGGCAAUUAUCUUAUAUGUCUUUAAGAUACAAAUCAAAAUAUUCGUGGUUAUGAUUGCAAUUAAAGAAUCAACGUGUUCAUCAUCAUCAACGCCAACAUCGAGAAUAACACCAACAAUUGAUAAGCCAACAGUUAAUCAUCAACCAUAUAAUCUUGGCAAAUCUGUUAACAACAAAUUGACCGAGAAUCAAAUCAUCUAAUUGAAUAACAAUAUUAGUGGAGUAACAAGAGAUGAUAAAGCCGAGAAUAGAUGAACAUUAAAUCUAUUUAGCUGUUAAAUGAAUGGAAAAUAUUAAGCUGUUGAGCAAAUUUUAACCUGAAUUUGACUUGAAUUGAUGAAUUGAGUAAAAAAGCCAAGAUGGUGAUGGAAGAGGUUUUAGCCUGUUAAUUGUUGUUAAUUUUAUUUAUAUUGCAUUGUCUCUUAUCAUGCAUUUUG